rnacentral:lncRNA from 1 species
CGUAAAUAAUUUUUACAGUAUAAAAGCAAAAUAAAUUCCUACUUACAGUAGUACAGAUAACUAGAGUAUAAAAUUUAAUUUACAGUGACACGUGAGCCCACGAAUGACUAGAACUAUCAAAAGAAUCGAACCUAAAUAUUUUGAGGAUGCCAAUCCAAUUGUAGUUCUCAAUGAAAUGAGCUAUUUACUGACUAUCCUGAUGCCUGAAAAGAGUGAAAAAGAGGGUGGUGAGAUUAUAUAAUCCUAGUAAGUAAACAAAUAUCAUUUAAAAUAUCUAAAGGCGAGUAAUAGGAGACUAGUAAAGUAUUUCAUCCAAAUAUGUUUUUCAGAACACAAAUAUUCAUUUCAUUUAAAAACAUUAAUAUGACUUAUGGGUAUCUUAAAAGCUUGGCUCGUGCCAGAAAUCAUUAUCAUACUCAGUUAUUAGGGAUACCUUGGCCGAGGGCUAUCCUAAACCGAGUCCGCCAAGGUUAUUAAAAAGUUAUGUACGCAUAAAACAUGUUUUUAUUUUGAAAAUGUAGCCGUUCCUUGGCGUUAGCCGAGUUUCUCCUCACGUGGUGGUUUACGUGAAGUGAACUCUAAAGUCAUACCUCGGGAGUUAUCCUACUCGCCUUUCCAACCGAAGUAAAAUAUAUAAAUAUUCAGAUUCCGCCUACUGCAGCAAGCUAAACCCAAAAUAAGCAAGUACAUACCUUCGCAUAUAUUAGUACAGUAAUAGUCGUCGUGGGUGUGCUCUGUCAUUCUGCAGACACAUAGAUGUGUGGAGCUUAAGUUUGUCCAACAAUAUUCUUCAUUCU